rnacentral:rRNA from 1 species
GAUGAACGCUGGCGGCGUGCUUAACACAUGCAAGUCGAACGGAAAGGCUCCUGCUUGCAGGGGUACUCGAGUGGCGAACGGGUGAGUAACACGUGGGUGAUCUGCCCUGCACUUCGGGAUAAGCCUGGGAAACUGGGGCUAAUACCGGAUAGGCCGAUGGUUUGGAUGCCAUUGUGGAAAGUUUUUCGGUGGGGGAUGAGCUCGCGGCCUAUCAUCUUGUUGGUGGUGUAAUGGCCUACCAAGGCGUCGACGGGUAGCCGGCCUGAGAGGGUGGACGGCCACAUUGGGACUGAGAUACGGCCCAGACUCCUACGGGAGGCAGCAGUGGGGAAUAUUGCACAAUGGGCGCAAGCCUGAUGCAGCGACGCCGCGUGGGGGAUGACGGCCUUCGGGUUGUAAACUCCUUUCGCUAGGGACGAAGCGCAAGUGACGGUACCUGGAGAAGAAGCACCGGCUAACUACGUG